AUUGAACGCUGGCGGCAGGCUUAACACAUGCAAGUCGAGCGGAGCGAGGGUGCUUGCACCUUAGCUUAGCGGCGGACGGGUGAGUAAUGCUUAGGAAUCUGCCUAUUAGUGGGGGACAACAUUCCGAAAGGGAUGCUAAUACCGCAUACGCCCUACGGGGGAAAGCAGGGGAUCUUCGGACCUCGCGCUAAUAGAUGAGCCUAAGUCGGAUUAGCUAGUUGGUGGGGUAAAGGCCUACCAAGGCGACGAUCUGUAGCGGGUCUGAGAGGAUGAUCCGCCACACUGGGACUGAGACACGGCCCAGACUCCUACGGGAGGCAACAGUGGGGAAUAUUGGACAAUGGGCGGAAGCCUGAUCCAGCCAUGCCGCGUGUGUGAAGAAGGCCUUUUGGUUGUAAAGCACUUUAAGCGAGGAGGAGGCUACUAGUAUUAAUACUACUGGAUAGUGGACGUUACUCGCAGAAUAAGCACCGGCUAACUCUGUGCCAGCCGCCGCCGUAAAAC
rnacentral:rRNA from 1 species